rnacentral:lncRNA from 1 species
UGCAUUUGUGUAGUCCUGACUUCUAUCUUGUGUCCUUGUUUGCACGCCGACUGUCUUUUGUCAUGAACCGUUUUGCUGUUGAAGUGAUUCGUAAAUGUUGUACCACGACUCCGUUCUUUCUCACAACUCGCUCACUGUUCAUUUCGACGGCUCGCAGGACUUCUGGUCUACUUCAGCUACGGCAUAAAACACAGCAAGCUCAACCCGGACAGCGUCAUCUCGCCGCAGACGUCACUCCUCGCUAUGGAGUCACGAGACCAACCUCGCAAGUGGGGCGCCAUGGACCAGGAAGUGACGUCAGCCACAGGCCUGGCCGAAGCGGGUGACAGCAGCACUGACGACAAGCAGCCGCUCGUGUCGUCGCCGCCUCCGAGGUCCUCGUCCUAGGUGUAAACGCGCGACAAUAUGGCGGACAGGUGGUGUCUAAAGCUCUCCAACAUCUGUGACGCGUUUCCGGGCCCCGCUUUAAUACCUAAGCGUGAAGCAAGCAGAACAAUAGCCUCUAAGAUCUGCGUAAUCUUAACCAGAGGGCCCUAUCGCUCAAGUGUGCAUUGGGGCACCACCUGUCAGUCCGCUAUUACGUCACACUUGAGUUAUAUCUAUUUUGAUGUAUAGAAAGUCGCGCGGCUGAUGUCCAGUUGGAUUAUCGAGCGAAUGAACUUUUCUUUGUUUGCCUAGCGGAUACGAUAUCCUCUGGUCUAUAUAGAGCGAGGGGCUUUAUUUUUGACUAUCAGCUCGCUCGUCAACUGAUCUCUUCGUCGGUCGUAAAAGGUUGUGUUGAUCCGUAAUUUCAGAAAGUAUUGUUCAACGCUUUUAGAAUGUUGGAAGGAUCGCUAAGCCCAAGUAUGGUGCUUUCAGUUUUCUUUUUCGUUUAUUUGUGAAAUCAGAGAUUUCAUUACCACAGUAAUAUCUCGCUGCUAGCUGAGAAAGCGCAGUUGUGCGGGCAGGACAUUGCCGGCGAGAGUUGAAGGUGAGGUUACUAAGCGCCGAUUCCACAGAAGUGACCACAGAAGCUUAGACAAUGGUGCAUCAAGACAUUCAUUCCAUCGCCGAAAAAGUAACGUCUCGACUUUGCAAUGUGAUAGGGCGAGGAGUUCUUCAUAUCAGCCCUUGCCUGUGUGGAGGGUGCAGAAAAAAAAAAUUGCGGGGGAAUUCACAACAGCUCCUCCAGAGGGACGUUAAUGGAGGAAGAGAUGGACUGAAUGGGCUGAGAGUAACUAAUCUUUUCGUGCGCCUCUACCAUGUAUGAGUCCAGUGGUAACCCAAUUAAACCAGAAUGAUGGAGAAUACGCCAGUGUAAGACGUCUUGUGGACAUCUUGUUUAGGCCAGUUUCUUUCUAUCGCCACGUCAGAACGCUACGUUUACAGAUAUGAUAUCGUCAAGCGCCAUGCCAAAGUUCUGAUCUCGAGGAUAUCUUGUUCAGAGCAGUUUCUAUCUAUCGCGAUGAAAGAUUGAAGCGAAUACACGUAUGACGUUGUCAGGCAUCCAACAAAAGAUGUUGUAAUCAUCUAGUAGCUUAUCUUAGGCGUCAUAGCAUAGUAUGGUUCAUAUCAUACGGAAUAUUUAUCGCUACCAAAGAAAUUUUUAAGAACUCGACAGAAAGCUAUCACGCGAGAGCACGAGAUAACACCGCUGCCUCGUUACGGUGCAAAAUAUCUAUGCUGUUUCUGUAGUGACAAUAAAUUUGUCACCGUACACAUUAUACGGCGAGUACGCAAAAUUGCUCGAAAUUUGAACGCUUAGAGGGAAAGAAUAAUUGCGCCAUUUGGUCUAAGCAAGAAUACCAUUUAGUUAUGCAACCGUUUUCUCAGAGAUAACAAAGGAUUUGCAUAUAAACAGCUUUCCAUUAGAAAUCCCCAGUUCACAUUGGAGCGUGGCAUUCAUUAAGUAACUCUCUGCAUUAUUUUGCAUAACGUCACUGCCAUACUUUUUCUCUGGCACAGAGGAAACAGUAAUUUGAAUGUGAAUGGGAGGACUAAAGGCGUAAUUUUGGUGGCUUAGAAGCCUUCUUAUUUUCUUUUUUUUCUUAUGUGGAGGGAGACUCACUAAUGCCCAUUCCCUCCGUGAUUUUAAACACCGGCGAUGACGUGUCAACUCUUGCAACCCGAGACAUUUUUCUGUACUGUCGUUAAUCGGUGAUAACGAUGAGGCUGAUUACUCGAGCUAGCAGUGUGCGUGUUCGCCGUAGCAUUCUCGGAAGAAUAUAUACGUAAAACGUGAAUGCCAUAGACAUCGACUCAAGCUUAUUUUUAUCGGGUUCUAACUAAAUAUUGUUUAUGAAUAAGUUUUGUAAUUACCACUACAAUCGGGCUGUCCUAUAUUUCUUGUGCGGUUUAGUACAUAAAACAUAACUGAAACCUACAUAGUACACUAAACAAAUAGGAAUACAAGCGCUAAAGAUGAACUGCAUGCUCGCAAAGAGAGGCUAUGUAGCGCCAUCUACACGAUCCACACCGAAUUCGAAAGGGCGCUAAGCAGCCUCCAAGAGUUUAGCUUUGUUGCCAGUCUUAAAGGCUACGCAUGAUGCGUUUGAUAUUGAUCAACCAGGGGGAGACACAGUACCGAACGUGCCCCAACUGCCGUUGGCGCCUACAUUCGAAACCUCAUUGGGCACUAAGAACGUAGCCAAACAGUGCUUACGCGCAAACAGCGUGUGCUGUAAAUGACGAACUAUGUGCCAUGUGACACUUUAUAACGAAGGAGAACUUACCGCUAAUAAGAAUAAAUCUGUAGACACCAAAAUAUCUAGCGCUUAUUCACUGCCUGUGAGGAAGGUGGCCAAGUCUAUAAUAUUUUAGGACGAAUCCCAAACUUUCUGGUGUCGGGUAAUUUUUAGUUAUAGAUAUUUUUUUUAUCAGCGGUGACCAUUUUUUUAUUGGCAUGGUUCUUUAACCUCAUGACACACGAAUUAUGCGGGAUAGGCUGCAAAAACCCCGAUGAUGCCGAUCGUACGAAGUAAAAUCGAACACUUAAUUGACCCAGAGAGAUCGUAGCGGAAGCUAAAUAUUGCGUUUACAUGAAAUGUACUUCACUCAAAUGUAGUGUCCAGUUUCCGCUAUGCUCUCUCUGAAUUUGUUUUUUCUAUAGCGUUAAUACUUAGAAGCGAAAUGGAAGUGGACGAAAACAGGCCUUGACCCAGAUGUGAAUCGAAAAGUCGUCCUCCGCAUUACGCUUGUGGUGCUCUAAUUACCACCUAACCCAAGGCAGCGCUAUUGCGUGUUCCGCAUUUUUGCAUAUUUCCAUGACUGUUAAUAUUAGGCACCGGGAGUGUUAGCCAGCGCCUCCUACGGCCAAGAUGAGACCUACUUUAGCCAGUGUCGCCAUGUUGGGACACGGAACACCCUCAGGUAAUCGUUGGGUGCAUACAGCGUUUUGAGAUAAUACAGGAAGUUAAUUUACGGUGGUAGUAUUCGCAGUUUCAUUCUAUCGAAGGGAAGAGAAAGUAUUUUUCUGUCAACGUCGAGCGAUAUGGCGCAACGAACAUUGCCUUUGUACGCCCAAUGAUGUUGAUCAAUCAAGUGUGUGUUCCCGUCAGUCAUUAUUCAGUUGCGGAAUCGUAAGUGUUGUUGCAGAGUUGUUCGUUGAAUCGUGUGCACAAGCAUUGAGUGCUGUACGUACGUUACCGCGUUACCCGCAAUCUAAGAGUCGACGUAGCUGAGUAGUGUGAGUGUUGUAUUCCUGAAAAAAAAAAUGGUGUUAUGGUUCUUCGAGAGAAUGGCAGUUACAUAACAGAAGUAACGGUUGUUUCCUUUUUCCAUUCUCGCUCUUGUGGAAACCGAUCAAUCCAAAACCUUCAUGUCUUUCAUGCGAUUCCAUAAGGUGAAGAUAUAAUGGACGUCGCACAACAUUAUUAUCAAUAAUCAGUUAUUCGCUUUUAUCAACCGUGUAAUUAUUGGAUGAUAUGGUGCAGCUGAAGCACCGAACUAGCCCUUUAUAUGAGGGCGAAGCGCUUUUCUGUGAUGAGAUUUUAGAUGGCGGUUAUAUCUUACUUUUUAUUUAUUGUUGUUAUCGUUUACACUAAGACGUCUCUACAUAUUUCUUGUUUUAAUUCCUUUUAUUUCAAUGAAUUGUACUGAGACCACUAUUUUUGGCCAUCGUGAUUGUGAUUUAGGGGCACUGAAAGGGUGCCUUCAAUAAAGAAAAUAAAUAUGCUUGUUGCUAACCCUG